rnacentral:rRNA from 1 species
CAUGCCUAACACAUGCAAGUCGAACGGCAGCCUGAUAAGAGCUUGCUCUUAUUGAUGGCGAGUGGCGGACGGGUGAGUAAUAUGUAGGAAUCUACCUAGAGGUGCGGGAUAACUUGGGGAAACUCAAGCUAAUACCACAUAAGCCACACGGGGGAAAGCAGGGGAUCUUAGGACCUUGCGCCUUAUGAUGCGCCUACAUCGGAUUAGCUAGUUGGUGGGGUAAAGGCCUACCAAGGCGACGAGCCGUAGCUGGUCUGAGAGGAUGAUCAGCCGCACUGGGACUGAGACACGGCCCAGACUCCUACGGGAGGCAGCAGUGGGGAAUUUUGGACAAUGGGCGAAAGCCUGAUCCAGCAAUGCCGCGUGCAGGAAGAAGGCCUUCGGGUUGUAAACUGCUUUUGUACGGAGCGAAAAGGCUCUCUCUAAUACAGGGGGCUCAUGACGGUACCGUAAGAAUAAGCACCGGCUAACUACGUGCCAGCCGCCGCCGUAACAC